GAUGAACGCUGGCGGCGUGCCUAAUACAUGCAAGUCGAGCGAACAGAUGAGGAGCUUGCUCCUCUGACGUUAGCGGCGGACGGGUGAGUAACACGUGGAUAACCUACCUAUAAGACUGGGAUAACUUCGGGAAACCGGAGCUAAUACCGGAUAAUAUAUUGAACCGCAUGGUUCAAUAGUGAAAGACGGUUUUGCUGUCACUUAUAGAUGGAUCCGCGCCGCAUUAGCUAGUUGGUAAGGUAACGGCUUACCAAGGCAACGAUGCGUAGCCGACCUGAGAGGGUGAUCGGCCACACUGGAACUGAGACACGGUCCAGACUCCUACGGGAGGCAGCAGUAGGGAAUCUUCCGCAAUGGGCGAAAGCCUGACGGAGCAACGCCGCGUGAGUGAUGAAGUUCUUCGGAUCGUAAAACUCUGUUAUUAGGGAAGAACAAAUGUGUAAGUAACUAUGCACGUCUUGACGGUACCUAAUCAGAAAGCCACGGCUAACUACGUG
rnacentral:rRNA from 1 species